rnacentral:rRNA from 1 species
GGCGGCAGGCUUAACACAUGCAAGUCGAACGACAUAGUGGCAGACGGGUGAGUAACGCGUGGAAACGUACCUUUCACUACGGAAUAGCUCUUGGAAACGAGUGGUAAUACCGUAUACGCCCUUCGGGGGAAAGAUUUAUCGGUGAAAGAUCGGUCCGCGUUAGAUUAGCUAGUUGGUGAGGUAAGAGCUCACCAAGGCGACGAUCUAUAGCUGGUCUGAGAGGAUGAUCAGCCACACUGGGACUGAGACACGGCCCAGACUCCUACGGGAGGCAGCAGUGGGGAAUAUUGCACAAUGGGCGAAAGCCUGAUGCAGCCAUGCCGCGUGAAUGAUGAAGGCCUUAGGGUUGUAAAAUUCUUUCGCUAGGGAUGAUAAUGACAGUACCUAGUAAAGAAGCCCCGGCUAACUUCGUGCCAGCAGCCGCGGUAAUACGAAGGGGGCUAGCGUUGUUCGGAAUUACUGGGCGUAAAGCGCACGUAGGCGGGUUAUUAAGUCAGAUGUGAAAUCCCAAGGCUCAACCUUGGAACUGCAUUUGAAACUGAUAGCCUAGAGAUCAGGAGAGGUUAGCGGAAUACCGAGUGUAGAGGUGAAAUUCGUAGAUAUUCGGUGGAACACCAGUGGCGAAGGCGGCUAACUGGACUGAUACUG